UACGAAGGGGGCUAGCGUUGUUCGGAAUCACUGGGCGUAAAGCGCACGUAGGCGGAUCUUUAAGUCAGGGGUGAAAUCCCGAGGCUCAACCUCGGAACUGCCUUUGAUACUGGGGAUCUCGAGUCCGGGAGAGGUGAGUGGAACUGCGAGUGUAGAGGUGAAAUGCGUAGAUAUCUAGAGGAACACCAGAGGCGAAAGCGAAUUACUGGACAGAACCUGACGCUGAGGCACGAAAGCUAGGGGAGCAAACGGG
rnacentral:rRNA from 1 species